rnacentral:rRNA from 1 species
AGCGAACGCUGGCGGCAGGCUUAACACAUGCAAGUCGAGCGGGCAUCCUUGUGGUGUCAGCGGCAGACGGGUGAGUAACGCGUGGGAACGUGCCCUUCGGUUCGGAAUAACUCAGGGAAACUUGAGCUAAUACCGGAUACGUGCGAGAGCAGAAAGGUUUAUCUGCCGAAGGAUCGGCCCGCGUCUGAUUAGCUAGUUGGUGAGGUUAUGGCUCACCAAGGCGACGAUCAGUAGCUGGUCUGAGAGGAUGGUCAGCCACACUGGGACUGAGACACGGCCCAGACUCCUACGGGAGGCAGCAGUGGGGAAUAUUGGACAAUGGGGGCAACCCUGAUCCAGCCAUGCCGCGUGAGUGAUGACGGCCUUAGGGUUGUAAAGCUCUUUUCUCCGGGACGAUAAUGACGGUACCGGAGGAAUAAGCCCCGGCUAACUUCGUG